rnacentral:rRNA from 1 species
UACGUAGGGUGCAAGCGUUGUCCGGAAUUAUUGGGCGUAAAGAGCUCGUAGGCGGUCUGUCGCGUCUGCUGUGAAAACUCAGGGCUUAACCCUGAGCUCGCAGUGGGUACGGGCAGACUAGAGUGCGGUAGGGGAGACUGGAAUUCCUGGUGUAGCGGUGAAAUGCGCAGAUAUCAGGAGGAACACCGGUGGCGAAGGCGGGUCUCUGGGCCGUAACUGACGCUGAGGAGCGAAAGCAUGGGGAGCGAACAGG